UUCCGGUUGAUCCUGCCGGACCUUACUGCUAUCGGGAUAAGACUAAGCCAUGCGAGUUGUGCGCUCUCAAGCUAUGUUGAGAGAGCAGCAAACGGCUCAGUAACACGUAGUUAAUCUACCCUCAGGACAGGGAUACCCCCGGGAAACUGGGGAUAAUAUCUGAUAGGCGGAAGCGCCUGGAAUGGUUUUCCACUGAAAGGGUGUUAAAAACAUGCUUUUAGCACUGCCUGAGGAUGAGACUGCGGCCGAUCAGGUUGUUGGUGGGGUAACGGCCUACCAAGCCUAUAACCGGUACGGGCCCUGAGAGGGGGAGCCCGGAGAUGGGAACUGAGAAACGGUCCCAGGUCCUACGGGACGCAGCAGGCGCGAAACCUCCACAAUGCACGAAAGUGCGAUGGGGUUAUCCCGAGUGCUUUCCGAUGAGGAUGGCUUUUCCUCGGUGUAAAAAGGCGAGGGAAUAAAGGGGGGGCAAGACUGGUGUCAGCCGCCGCGGUAAUACCAGCUCCCUGAGUGGUAGGGAUGAUUAUUUGGCCUAAAACGUUCGUAGCCGGCUUGGCAAGUCUUCCGUUAAAUCCAGCGACUCAAUCGUUGGUCUGCGGAAGAUACUACUAGGCUAGAGGACGGGAGAGGUUGACGGUAUUCCCAGUGUAGGGGUGAAAUCCAAUAAUCCUGGGAGGACCACCAGUGGCGAAGGCGGUCAACGAGAACGUGCCUGACGGUGAGGGACGAAAGCUGGGGGAGCGAACCGGAUUAGACACCCGGGUAGUCCCAGCCGUAAACGAUGCGGGCUAGGUGUUAGGGCAGCUACGAGCUGCUCUAGUGCCGCAGAGAAGUCGUUAAGCCCGCUGCCUGGGGAGUACGAUCGCAAGAUUGAAACUUAAAGGAAUUGGCGGGGGAGCACCACAAGGGGUGAAGCCUGCGGUUCAAUUGGAUUCAACGCCGGG
rnacentral:rRNA from 1 species